GACGAACCGUGCAAACGUUAUUCGGAAUCACUGGGCAUAAAGGGCGCGUAGGCGGCUUGACAAGUCAGGGGUGAAAUCCGGCAGCUUAACUGUCGCAGUGCCUUUGAUACUGUCGAGCUCGAGGGAGGUAGGGGUCUGUGGAACUUCCGGUGGAGCGGUGAAAUGCGUUGAUAUCGGAAGGAACGCCGGUGGCGAAAGCGACGGACUGGAUCUCUUCUGACGCUGAGGCGCGAAAGCUAGGGGAGCAAACGGGG
rnacentral:rRNA from 1 species